rnacentral:rRNA from 1 species
AGCAGCCGCGGUAAUUCCAGCUCCAAUAGCGUAUAUUAAAGUUGUUGCAGUUAAAAAGCUCGUAGCUGAAUUUCGGGGUCAGCAAGUUGGUCGUGCCACUGGUAUGCACUGGCUUUGCUGAUUCCUCCUUCUUGAAGAACUGUAAUGCUAUUAAUUUAGUGUUGCAGGGAAACAGGACUGUUACUUUGAAAAAUUAGAGUGUUUAAAGCAGGCUAACGCUUGAAUACAUUAGCAUGGAAUAAUGAAAUAGGACGUUUGAUCCUAUUUUGUUGGUUUCUAGGAUUGACGUAAUGAUUAAUAGGGAUAGUUGGGGGCAUUAGUAUUCAAUUGUCAGAGGUGAAAUUCUUGGAUUUAUUGAAGACUAACUACUGCGAAAGCAUUUGCCAAGGAUUGUUUUCAUUAAUCAAGAACGAAAGUUAGGGGAUCGAAGACGAUCAGAUACCGUCGUA